AACGGUCUAUACCUGCGGUACCUGCGGAGGGAUCAUUAUCGAGUUCCUGCCCUUGGGUAGAUCUCCCACCCUUGCGUACCUAUCGCUCGUUGCUUUGGCGGGCCGCUUCGGCUACCGGCGCUCGCUGGUAAGUGCCCGCCAGAGGUUCUAAACUCUGAACAUUAGUGUCGUCUGAGUCCUAGAUAAUCGUGAAAACUUUCAGCAACGGAUCUCU
rnacentral:misc_RNA from 1 species